UAUAUUAUUAGUAGUUAAAAUCCAGUGUUAAAACAAAGUGUUUCCUUAUCAAAUCUAGAGGUGUUAAAAUGGAAUCAAUAACUCUUUACUUCUUAACUCUGAACUCCUUACAGUGGCUCUAACACUGAAGGAGUUAAUUCACUGCCUCCGCCCCAGAAUCACAGAUUCCCACCGAAGCAACAGAAGCCAAGUCAUUUCAGGACUAUUUACUCUCCACAUGUCUGAGUUAUUUACUGUACUUGGUAAGUAAUUUUUUUCUGAGAUGGUUUAUAACUAUUAUUUUGAGUUGAGCUCAACCUGUAUGAUAGACACGGCUCGGUGUUAGCAUUUUUAGCUUAGCAUGCCGAAUGUUAGCGGAGUAUUUGUUGGAAAAAUAUCGAGCCGGUGAAGAUUUAAUCAAAUUAUUGGCUAACUUGAACAGAUCCGUAAUAAUCUGGAGUAUGUUUUUUCAUGAUGUUGAACGUUUACAUGCAUAUUGAUCAGAUUUAUCAACCUUUCUGAUCGAUUUUUUUUCCUUUGAAAAAAUAACCAGUCUGGUUGAGGAUGAAUCUCCAGCCUAACCUCCCCCUCCUGAUCCCUCCAUGGAUUCUUCGAAGAUUCAAGCUCCAAAAAUGAUUAUAGACCGACACUGGCUGUAGUACUCAGAGACUGAAGACGGUCCGAUGCAGUAGAGGAGCAUGUUGGUGUCUCCGGCCAAACGUCACGAACAGCCCAACAACCUGAAGACAAUCUGUUAGUGAUGGACAUCUCUCUGGUGGAGUGCAGAGAGGAACUGUCUCUUAUCAACAGAAACAUAAACUGGAUAAGAAAUGAUGGAUCUGAAUAUCAGGUUGGUCUGUUAUGUACUGUACAUAUCUGGCAAUCUACCUGUUAAAAGAAAAUGUACUCUAUCAAAUAUUACAUGAACUGCAUGCAUUGAUACAGGCUUUACUUUCUCCAC